UACGGAGGGUGCAAGCAUUGAUCGGAAUUACUGGGCGUAAAGGGCGCGUAGGCGGCUUAGAAAGUCAGAUGUGAAAUUCCGGGGCUCAACCCCGGAGCUGCAUUUGAAACUUCUAAACUAGAGUACAGUUAGGGUAAACGGAAUUCCACGUGUAGCGGUGAAAUGCGUAGAUAUGUGGAAGAACACCGGUGGUGAAGACGGUUUACUGGGCUGUAACUGACGCUGAGGCGCGAAAGCAAGGGGAGCAAACAGG
rnacentral:rRNA from 1 species